rnacentral:rRNA from 1 species
UGGGGAAUAUUGGGCAAUGGGCGAAAGCCUGACCCAGCAACGCCGCGUGAAGGAAGAAGGCCCUCGGGUUGUAAACUUCUUUUGUCAGGGACGAAGCAAGUGACGGUACCUGACGAAUAAGCCACGGCUAACUACGUGCCAGCAGCCGCGGUAAUACGUAGGUGGCAAGCGUUAUCCGGAUUUACUGGGUGUAAAGGGCGUGUAGGCGGGAGUGCAAGUCAGAUGUGAAAAGCUAUGGGCUCAACCCAUAGCCUGCAUUUGAAACUGUACUUCUUGAGUGAUGGAGAGGCAGGCGGAAUUCCCUGUGUAGCGGUGAAAUGCGUAGAUAUAGGGAGGAACACCAGUGGCGAAGGCGGCCUGCUGGACAUUAACUGACGCUGAGGCGCGAAAGCGUGGGGAGCAAACAGGAUUAGAUACCC